GACGGAGGGUGCUAGCGUUGCUCGGAAUCACUGGGCGUAAAGCGCACGUAGGCGGCUUUUUAAGUCAGGGGUGAAAUCCUGGAGCUCAACUCCAGAACUGCCUUUGAUACUGGGAAGCUUGAGUCCGGGAGAGGUGAGUGGAACUCCGAGUGUAGAGGUGAAAUUCGUAGAUAUUCGGAAGAACACCAGUGGCGAAGGCGGCUCACUGGCCCGGUACUGACGCUGAGGUGCGAAAGCGUGGGGAGCAAACAGG
rnacentral:rRNA from 1 species